rnacentral:rRNA from 1 species
UACUAAGCGGAGGAAAAGAAACUAACUAGGAUUCCCUGAGUAGCUGCGAGCGAAUAGGGAUAAGCCCAGUGCCAAAUCCCGCGGCUGACACCGGACGCCGGGACGUGUGGCGUUUAGGAGGAUUCAUUAUCACGAAGUCUAGUGUUGCGUUCAAGUCCUUCUUGAAUGGGGCCACAGCCCAUAGAGGGUGCCAGGCCCGUAGUGACCAGCACUGAUUGCGUGAGAGUCUCUCCUUAGAGUCGGGUUGCUUGAGAGUGCAGCCCUAAGUGGGUGGUAAACUCCAUCUAAGGCUAAAUAUAACCACGAGACCGAUAGCGAACAAGUACCGUGAGGGAAAGUUGAAAAGCACUUUGAAGAGAGAGUUCAAGAGUACGUGAAACCGUUCAGGGGUAAACCUGAGAAACCCGAAAGGUCGAACGGGGAAAUUCAUUCGUAAUUCAAUGUUGGCAUUGUGCGACUGGCAUGACAACUAUUAUUUAUAAUAGUUGCAUUCGUUGUACUAAUGAACUGGCAUCGAUUGCGUGCACUUUUCCCCAAGUAGGACGCCGCGAUUCGUUGGGUGUCGGUCUAAGGCCCAUGGUGGAGACCAUUCGAGUGGCAUUCACGUGUCAUUUGUAUCGAAUGAACCCGUGGUGUUUCCCGGCCGGCUCGCUCGACGGUAUACAGAUGGCGCAGAGCCGCGACAUUUUAGUUCGCGUCCGACCCAUUGCAAGCAUGCAAUGUUGUGUUGGUGAUCGGACCUAGUGCCGUUCCCGACCCAUUGGCAACUGUUGGCUGUGGUGUUCUCGGACAGACUCUGUAAUAUGAAACGCCGAUCUGCGGCGCUAUAGCUUUGGGUACUUUCAGGACCCGUCUUGAAACACGGACCAAGGAGUCUAGCAUGUGCGCGAGUCAUUGGGACAUAACUAAACCUAAAGGCGUAAUGAAAGUGAAGGUUUGUCUUGCACAAACUUAGGGAGGAUGGGUGGUUUGCCGUUAAACGUGGCCACUCCGCACUCCCGGGGCGUCUCGUUCUUAUUGCAAGAAGAGGCGCACCAUGAGCGUACACGCUGGGACCCGAAAGAUGGUGAACUAUGCCUGGUCAGGACGAAGUCAGGGGAAACCCUGAUGGAGGUCCGUAGCGAUUCUGACGUGCAAAUCGAUCGUCGGAACUGGGUAUAGGGGCGAAAGACUAAUCGAACCAUCUAGUAGCUGGUUCCCUCCGAAGUUUCCCUCAGGAUAGCUGGCGCUCAUUAUCAUUGCAUAAAAUGAACGAGUCUCAUCCGGUAAAGCGAAUGAUUAGAGGCAUUGGGGUCGAAACGACCUCAACCUAUUCUCAAACUUUAAAUGGGUGAGAUCUCCGGCUUGCUUAAAUAUUGAAGCCGUGAGAUUUUGGAUCAGAGUGCCAAGUGGGCCAUUUUUGGUAAGCAGAACUGGCGCUGUGGGAUGAACCAAACGCCGAGUUAAAGCGCCUAAAUCGACGCUUAUGGGAUACCAUGAAAGGCGUUGGUAACUUAAGACAGCAGGACGGUGGCCAUGGAAGUCGGAAUCCGCCAAGGAGUGUGUAACAACUCACCUGCCGAAGUUACUAGCCCUGAAAAUGGAUGGCGCUGAAGCGUCGUGCUUAUACUCGGCCGUCAGUGGCAUGUGCGGUCACGCACUCUAGCAGUGCGGGCCAUGAAGCUCUGACGAGUAGGAGGGUCGCGGCGGUGAGCGCUGAAGGGCUGGCCGUGAGGCCGUCUGGAGCCGCCGUCGGUGCAGAUCUUGGUGGUAGUAGCAAAUACUCCAGCGAGGCCCUGGA